rnacentral:rRNA from 1 species
UACAGGGGGCCCGAGCGUUAAUCGGAAUCACUGGGCUUAAAGGGUGCGUAGGCGGAUCAGGAAGUGUUUCGUGAAAACCCCCGGCUCAACCGGGGAACUGCGGGGCAAACUCCUGAUCUUGAGGGAAGUAUGGGCGGACAGAACUAUCGGUGGAGCGGUGAAAUGCGUAGAUAUCGAUAGGAAUGCCGAUGGCGAAGGCGGUCCGCUGGGCUUCACCUGACGCUCAGGCACGAAAGCGUGGGGAGCAAACAGG